rnacentral:rRNA from 1 species
GUGGGGAAUCUUGCGCAAUGGGCGAAAGCCUGACGCAGCCAUGCCGCGUGGAUGAUGAAGGUCUUAGGAUUGUAAAAUCCUUUCACCGGUGAAGAUAAUGACUGUAGCCGGAGAAGAAGCUCCGGCUAACUUCGUGCCAGCAGCCGCGGUAAUACGAAGGGGGCUAGCGUUGCUCGGAAUUACUGGGCGUAAAGGGCGCGUAGGCGGACAGCUUAGUCAGAGGUGAAAGCCCAGGGCUCAACCUUGGAAUUGCCUUUGAUACUGGCUGUCUUGAGUUUGGGAGAGGUGAGUGGAACUCCGAGUGUAGAGGUGAAAUUCGUAGAUAUUCGGAAGAACACCAGUGGCGAAGGCGACUCACUGGCCCAAUACUGACGCUGAGGCGCGAAAGCGUGGGGAGCAAACAGGAUUAGAAACCCCGGUAGUCC